rnacentral:rRNA from 1 species
GACGAACCGUGCGAACGUUGUUCGGAUUCACUGGGCUUAAAGGGCGCGUAGGCGGCUCCUCAAGUCGGGGGUGAAAUCCUCUCGCUUAACGAGAGAAUUGCCUCCGAUACUGGGGAGCUGGAGGGGGAUAGGGGUGCGCGGAACUUCCGGUGGAGCGGUGAAAUGCGUAGAUAUCGGAAGGAACGCCGGUGGCGAAAGCGGCGCACUGGAUCCCCACUGACGCUGAGGCGCGAAAACCAGGGGAGCAAACGGG